CGACGUGUAGCUCAGUCAGGAGAGCGUCCGGCUCAUAACCGGGAGGUCGCGGGGGCAGGGCCCGCCACGUCGA
rnacentral:tRNA from 4 species